rnacentral:pre_miRNA from 1 species
AAAGUACUCCCUCCGUCCCAAAAUUCUUAUCUUAGAUUUGUCUAGAUACAGAUGUAUCAAGUCACAUUUUAGUAUUAGAUACAUCCGUAUCUAGACAAAUCUAAGACAAGAAAUUUGGUACAGAGGGAGUAGUUG